rnacentral:rRNA from 1 species
CCUACGGGAGACUGCAGUGAGGAAUAUUGGUCAAUGGACGAGAGUCUGAACCAGCCAAGUAGCGUGAAGGAUGACUGCCCUAUGGGUUGUAAACUUCUUUUAUAAAGGAAUAAAACGAGGCACGUGUGCCUUUUUGCAUGUACUUUAUGAAUAAGGAUCGGCUAACUCCGUGCCAGCAGCCGCGGUAAUACGGAGGAUCCGAGCGUUAUCCGGAUUGAUUGGGUUUAAAGGGAGCGUAGAUGGGUUGUUAAGUCAGUUGUGAAAGUUUGCGGCUCAACCGUAAAAUUGCAAUUGAUACUGGCAGUCUUGAGUACAGUUGAGGUAGGCGGAAUUCGUGGUGUAGCGGUGAAAUGCUUAGAUAUCACGAAGAACCCCGAUUGCGAAGGCAGCUUACUAAACUGUGACUGACAUUGAUGCUCGAAAGUGUGGGUAUCAAACAGGAUUAGAUACCCCGGUAGUC